UAUGGAUUUGUGGGGUUUGGAUAUGGUAUCAUUGGCCAAGAAAUUGCAAAUGUGAUGCAAAUAUGGAAUGUCCUAUAGGACACUGUUUGGACAGCCUGAUGCUACUAAAUGGUUGACGUUGAAGUUGCUGUCGUUGAUGCCAUUGUGCAAGAGCUUGGUUGUCCUUGGGGGUUCCACUGAUGACCAGAUAAAGUUUGGGUGCUUAAUGUUAUUGUUGUGGCAAAUAUACUUCUUUGGCCAUAUAAAAGACUUUGAUAUGUAGACAAUUAGUGGGGAGCGUGCUACUACAUUGCUCUUAACCCGAACCUGGAGGGCAAGGUUCUUAUUGAGGGUGGGAGUGUUGUUAUGAAUGUGGCCACUGUGGAGGACCCGUUUGGAGAGUUGGCAAAUUAUGUUUGGGACCCUGGCUAAAAGGAGCAUGUGAGAGGGCUACAAGUAGAGGAGAAAAUGUUCCCUUAGGGUUAUGUUAUGAAGUUGUCUCUUUAUUUUUCUUAGUUUCUUAACCUCCCUCACUUCUUCCUUUUUUAUGUUCUUCUUCCCUUGGAAGAUUUGAUUACUAGUAGAACUCUUAUAUUUGUACGUGUAAUUUCAAUUAUCUAUUUCAAUACACUAUGGUUUUGUUACAUUGCCUCUCUUCUUGUUUUCUUUGUCUUUUUAUUUCACUGUUAGGUUAAAUAAGUAAAUUGAUUUGGUAAUUAAUUUUGUAAAUUAUUGUUUAUGUCAGAUUUUAGAGAUGGUUAUCAAGGAUUUACUGCAAGAGUAUCCGGACAUGAUCUGCAAUUAAACUAAAUGGACUCUUGCACAGUGAGGACAAUUGUGCUGUAAAGGUAUGAAUACAAUCUUGCUUCUUUCAGCUAAUUUUCUUUUGUACAGUUUGGAUUUCUGUUCCUUAUAAGAGUUUAUACAUAUGUUGCAGUGUGGGCACUUUUGUUCCAUACCUAAAAUGUUUACACCUUUUCAUAUGUUCUUACCUAGAUCCAAUCAGUAAAUUUAGGUAUCAGAUUGUUCAUACUUUCAAGAGUUUACCUCAAUAACCGCUCGAACAAUUUGCUAAGACUUAAUGAUUUUUCACUGGACCAUCUGACAUUAGAAAAAAAACGAUGGUUGUUCUAGUUGGUUUGUGUUACCAUCUAAGAAGGAAAAAGAUCAACUGAAUAAAUGCUGUUUUUUGGUUGAUUCAUUGGUAGAUUUUUCUUUUUGUGGUUUUAUAUCUGUGUUUAAACUUGAUUUGGCUCUAGAAAUCAGCUCUUUGUUCUGGUAGAGUUAUGCAACAAAAAGAAAGCUGAAAUUCUAAAUUCAAGAUAGGUUAUGCAAGCGUAGUGUGAAAUUCUGAAUAAUUUGCAACUUCCUUAACAUGCCAAUAAACAUUAUUUGAAAGCAGAAAUUGUACCGGAAUAGUUGCCCCCAGGUCUUAGUUCAAGUAGCAAAGGUUGAGGCACAUGUGACUUAGGUCACAGGUUCAAGCCCUGUGUCAUACAAACUAAGCCUGGUAUGUAAAUCGAGGAGGAUAGAGGGCCAGACCCAUUAUCCCCAAGUUUUAAAGUUGUGGUUCGUCCUAAUCAAGAAGAGAGAGAGACCACAGUCAAUUGAAACUUUUGUGCAUAAAUUAUCACUUCCUUUGCUUUUCUUACAGAUUGAUAUCUAGGAAUUGAUUAAGCAAGAGUUCACUUUCCAAGAGGAUAUUUAGUGUAUCCAAGCAAAUUCUGUUAGCAUUAUCAAAAUAUUCAAAUAUAGAUGCACUAAAUACCGGAUUCAUCUGCAUCUUCUUCUACUUUUGGUUUAACUAUUUUAUCUUCCUUGGAACGGUUAAAAUAUAUACCUCUUUGAACAAAGGGUGUUACAUAUCAGUUCUUGUUUUAGAUAUUUGUCCAUAAUGUUGUCCUUGACCUCUGUAUCCAUUUUUUGAUAUAGUUAUUUCAUCUUGCAGGAGAUUGCAUAGAAAAUCAAUUGGUUUUCUCAACGAUGGGAUUGUGGAUUGGCUCAUAAGACCAUUAUCUUUGUGUUGGAUGAGUUUGACCUUUUUACACAGGGUAAACAGCGAUUACUCUAUAGUUUGCUAGAUGCAAUGCAGUCUGUAACUUCGCAAGCUGUUGUCAUUGGUGUGAGUUGCAGAUUGGAUGCUGAUCAACUCUUAGAGAAGAGAGUAAGGUCUCGUUUCUCGCAUAGAAAGCUGUUGUUUCUACCCCCUUCACAGGAAGACUUGCAAAACACGCUUUACUACUGCUAGCGGAGCCAGGCCUUCCUCCCCAUUAUGUAGCUGCUUAUAAGAAAAGGCUUCUUAAUACUAUGAAAAAUUCAAAGACGUCAUUGAGUCGUUAUGCAAUUCUGAUUCAACUUAUAACCAUCUAUUGAGAUUUCUGUUUGCUGCUGUGUGCCAUAUGGAUACAAAAUCUGGAUUAUUAUCACUUGAUAAUUUUAAAGCAGCACUAUCAAGUAUUCAACGGCAACCCAAGUUCGAAGCCUUGCAAGAUUGCUCCAUUUUACAGUUAUAUAUUCUUGUUUGCUGGAGGAGGUAGGAAGUCAAAGAGCAAGAGACUACUAACUUCAAUUCAGUAAUGAAAGGCAUUUGAACAUCUUUGACAACGCCAAUUGAUAUCCUUGGUUGACAACAGAGGGCAUGGCCAAUCUGUUGAAUUCCGUCCAGUGAGGCUUUUGAUCUUAUCACAUGAACUACAUCAGGGACUGAAAUCAUACCGUUCUUGUCCAAUAAGUUACUUUCAGGAACAAUUAUAUUCUUUUAGUCUGAAAUAUACUCGGGUGGUUGCGGAUAUCAAUAUCAUGAAAAAAAUAAACACACUUUCCAGUCAGUCGGUAUAAGCAAGUAGAGAAUUUUCCUUAAUGCCAUGUUCAUUAUCUAGUACUUCAUAAA